AUACUCCAGUUUCUCUUCAGAUCAAAUAAAUCUUUCACUUUUUACUAAAGAUUUCCAUGGAGAGGAACAACUCUGAGUUUUUGAUCAAUUUUCUGAGGCCUUCCUAUGGCAAGGCU
rnacentral:snRNA from 1 species